rnacentral:lncRNA from 1 species
CAACCCUUCCAACACAGGGCUGUUGGCGGGGACACAGGGGACGUUCACAAGUGACACAGGCUUUUUUGCACAGUUCCCCAGUCUAGAGAGCAGAGUUUUCAGCAGCACUGCCCUUCUUGUUCUCAGGCGCCGUUACAAAUAUGUUGUGACCCAGCAACAGCCCUGUGAGGGUUGGGAGACCGGCCUGUGGGACACAGCGCGUGAUGUGAUGCCUUCUCCUCUGGCACUGAUCCUCGGGGAAAUAACCCUUUGUCACCACUAGCAGAAGGCUGAGCAGAGCGCCUCCAACCACAAAUCUCUUCGCUUUGCUGGAUGGAAAAUUUCUCCACCCACCUGAUGAAUAACCACAGGGGGCCCAAAACUGGACACAGUUGCAGCCAACGUGCACUGACAAAGCGAUGCAGUGGCUAACGCCUGACGGGCCCUACUGGAACCUGCCCACUUCUGCCCACGGGGUCCCUCAGCCGAGGCGCCGAAAUGAGGAAGAUGAAGCCCUGGUGCGCUAGUGACUUUCCAUGGACACAUGUGAAGCUGAUGAACUGUGGAGCUUUUUUAGUUUGUAGGAGGGAAACUGAGGCACGUGCUCGCUGCGCAUCCGGCAAAAGCAUGUCGAUAACCAGUAAUGAGAGAGGAGUGCUCCGUCUGUUCAGACUAUUCAGCUCUUUGCACGGCUGCCCACGUGGCCAGGGAGAAGAAAUGGAGUCAAAUAAGCACGCAAUGGC